CAAGAUAUUCGUCCUCAAUUAUAUAUCAGACACGUGAAUGGUUACAUUAUAUAUCAGACACAUCACAAUAGGGGAAAUAUUUACUUUUUUGUGUUUAGUAUCUCAGAGAUAACUCUGCCUUCCAAACAUUUAUAGAUAGCAUCCUGUGCGAAUAAAUUGCAAUAAGAACAAACAAGUUAACAAUCAAUCAAGAUCAAAAUUUCAAUUGAUGCUUCAAUUCAAUAGGUCUAAAAAGUUAACUUACUGGAGCCUAAAGAGCAGGAACUAUGAGAAGAGAGUCUUAUAGCCAAAACCAAAGAGAGGAAGAGAAAAGCAAUGAGUCUUGCAUCCUCAAACUGGACUUUAUAGCAUGAAGUUAUGCAAGUCCAUAGAUAUUAGAACAUAUUACUCAAUUCAAGUAUCAGGUGAUUUUAUUGUUGUUAAUU
rnacentral:lncRNA from 1 species